rnacentral:rRNA from 1 species
UCGCUACUACCGAUUGAAUGGCUUAGUGAGCUCCGUGGACUGUUUUGUGGUGGGGGUCUCUCUCAUCACUAUACGGGAAGCGGAUCAAACUUGAUCAUUUAGAGGAAGUAA